GUGUAGUUAAACCAGUGUGUUGCGUGAGACUGAAAUCAUUCCUCCCUCUCACUGGAUGUGUUUUCAUGCUGUUUAGAAAGGAAACAUGUCUGCAAGAAAAGGGAAUGACUUCCAGCUUGUUGCCCCUGAAAAAGGUGAAAGAGUUAAGAUAAACCCGGGAUCUGCUCUCAUUGUGUCGUGCCACUUGUCUCCUGCAAUCAGUGCGGCUGACAUGGAGAUUAACUGGUUUAACAAGACAGGAUAUGUUUGCACAUAUAAGAAACGAAAAAUGACACAGGGAGUUGGCUAUGAGGGAAGAGCCAAUCUGUUCAUCCAUGACCUGGUGAGAGGGAAUGUGUCCUUAAGAGUGGCAAACUUUACAGAGUCUGAUCUGGGAGAUUACAUGUGCCAGGUCACCAGUCAAAAUAAAACACAGCAGAUAACUGUCAAUGUAACAGAAGAAGUAUCUGCCAUUUCUAAGGACCAGCUCUUAUUCACAGUGGAUUACACAUCGGAAAAAACAAGUGAUGGCCAAUCUGGAGAUUCACAAAAAAAUCUCCUUAAGGUUUGUGAGCGCAUUGAUUUUUAUCUAGUAACACACUGUGUUUAAUCAUUUUUUUACAACCAGAAGUUAUUCAUAAUUUAUUGAUGAUUAACUUCUGUUGCCUUA
ensembl:processed_transcript